rnacentral:lncRNA from 1 species
AUACAUGUGCUAGUCUAAUAUUCAUGUGUGUCCUCACAUGAACUCCGACUAGGGACAACUUUAGAAUAACCAUACAAGUAAAGAGUUUCACAUACAAUUCACAUAAUUGCAAAUCAAUUCAAGUAGCCUUUAAUGGAUAUUCAAUGAACACAAUAUUCAAAUCAUGGAUACAAGUGGAAUAUCAUCAUCUCUAUGAUUGCCUCUAGGGCAUACCUCCAACAGUGAUGGCCCGACACCGGAUCUGAUCA